GUCUUAACUCUAAUAAAGAGGAAGAAGAAGAAGAUAAUGAUCAUCUUUUAUUUGAUGAUCGUGUGAUAAAUUUUUGUAGACAUAGGUUGGAGUGUAGGAUUUGUGUUUGCUAUCGUGAUAUUUGUGUUUUUGUUGAACCAAAAUGGAAUGAUGGUUGUCAUCGUCCUUGCGCUCUUGUGUGCAUGUGAGAACAGAACUAAUAUUAGUCGUCAUCUUGUUUCCAAUUUUCAUGUAGCUUGUGAGUAGAAUUUGAGUUUGCUGUCAUUGUUUUUUGUGUUGAACUAGCCUUAGUAGUGGUUAUACACUUUG
rnacentral:misc_RNA from 1 species